rnacentral:rRNA from 1 species
AUUUGGGACCUUGAGAUCGGCCCAGUACUCCUUACGGAGCACCAAUGUGGGAAUAUUGCACAAUGGUCGGAAGCCUGAUGGCAGCGACGCCGCGUGGGGGAUGAAGGCCUUCGGUUUAAACUCCUUUCGACAGGGGACGAAGCGUAAGUGACGGUACCUGUAUAAGAAGCACCGGCUAACUACGUGCCAGCAGCCGCGGUAAUACGUAGGGUGCGAGCGUUGUCCGGAAUUACUGGGCGUAAAGAGCUCGUAGGUGGUUUGUCGCGUCGUCUGUGAAAUUCCGGGGCUUAACUCCGGGCAAACAGGCGAUACGGGCUGACUUGAGUGCUGUAGGGGAGACUGGAAUUCCUGGUGUAGCGGUGAAAUGCGCAGAUAUCAGGAGGAACACCGAUGGCGAAGGCAGGUCUCUGGGCAGUAACUGACGCUGAGGAGCGAAAGCAUGGGUAGCGAACAGGAUUAGAUACCCUGGUAGUCCAUGCCGUACACGGUGGGCGCUAGGUGUAGGGGGCUUCCACGUCUUCUGGACCGUAGCUGACGCAUUGAAGCGCCCUUCAUGGGGAUGGCGCCGCAAG